UGAGGAAUAUUGGACAAUGGAGGCAACUCUGAUCCAGCCAUGCCGCGUGCAGGAUGACUGCCCUAUGGGUUGUAAACUGCUUUUAUAUAGGAAGAAACACUCCCACGUGUGGGGGCUUGACGGUACUAUAUGAAUAAGGAUCGGCUAACUCCGUGCCAGCAGCCGCGGUAAUACGGAGGAUCCAAGCGUUAUCCGGAAUCAUUGGGUUUAAAGGGUCCGCAGGCGGCCUGUUAAGUCAGAGGUGAAAGCCAACAGCUCAACUGUUGAACUGCCUUUGAUACUGAUAGGCUUGAGUUAUUGUGAAGUGGUUAGAAUGUGUGGUGUAGCGGUGAAAUGCUUAGAUAUCACAC
rnacentral:rRNA from 1 species